AUGAAUUUCUCUAGCUGUUCAUUGGACCCAGCUGAAGGACUGAAACUCUUCAAGAAUAGCAGGCCCCGUGAGAUCCUGAGCUCUCUUGAUGGAGAGGUGGUCACUGCUAGGGAAGGUUUUUCCCACCUGAAAGCAAAAUCCGAGAAUACACGCUCCUGUUCACAAAGCACAAAGAAAAGCUACAGAGGUGUCUUAAUGUAGGUCCCUAAUUAUGUGGGGUAAGCACCUGUCUGAAUGUAUGCUUAUUCACUGAAAAUGACAUGUGGGCUUCAGCACUUUGUGCUGAGUUAAGCAUACGUUUCAGUGUUUUGUUGAACUGAAUCUUGGACAAGGCCAACAGCAAAUUCUCAUUGCCAACGUGUUCCCCUUUAUACAUUUGUUACUGAAUGAGAUCCACUGAAUGAGAUCCACUGAAUGAGAUCAGUAAUGAAGGGGCUGCAACAGGACAGCAGGCAAGGUACAAGUUUCCUUUGCAAAUUGCCAAUUACCUCUUGAGGGGCUCUUUACUCCCUAUGAAAUAAAAACAUUUUUGUAGAAAUGGCUCCUUGCA
rnacentral:lncRNA from 1 species